CAUUGAAACACCGGUUACCAUAUGAUCACCAAAGUUAAGCAAUGUCGAGCCUGGUCAGUGCCUAAAUAGGUGACUACUUGGGAAUACCAGGUGCUGUCAG